GCCGCGGACCAGCCACGCAGCGGCGUGGACCUGGUGGAGCCUCGGCGCUCUGAUGUACAAAUGCUCACAGGACGCGCCUCCUUCACGGGGGGAAAACCGGAAAAAGACCAUCGGGACAAGAUCCUUGACAGUGUAAGCUCAGGCUGACCGCCUACCUCACCACAAGAAGCCAGGAUCUCCUGAAGCGGUUGUUGAAGAGGAAACG